GAUUUUUCCCUGACCCCUGCCAACCCUAGCUGCCGCACAAACGCCAAUCGCCGCCGGCUGUCGAUCGCUUCCCCGCGUCCCCUCGUGUGUCCUUCGCCUCCCUCUGCUCGAGGCCUCCCCAUCUCGCGCUGCCAAGAGCGACUCCUGGUCUCAGCAGCCGCCCUCACCUCCCUCUCUCUCCAACCAGCCCCGCUCUCCUCUCGCAUCACACAGGCGGCGGCUCAACAUAUGAUGCCGGGUGUGGCGUAUGUGGCAUCUGUGUUGUGCUUCCGCCGGCUGGUUGUGUGUGAUGUGUGCGGCUGGAUGUGCAUCCGUGUUUAUGUGUGUGGCCUUCUACAGGCAGAGGAAGUCGAUGGUUGCAGGCAGAGGAAGCUGCUGGUUGCUGGCAGAGGAGGAUUAUGAUAGUUCCCUUGCUCUUUGCCAGAAAAAUUGAUAGUUCUCUUGAUUUGUUCUGGUCUGGAUUAGUACAAAAUUGCACUGAUAUUUGUUUUGUGGUGCGGGAGUUUCAAGACAACAGGUUUAGCAGGGAUCAAUUGCAACCUUCGUUUAUCUUCUGUUAUGUGAACCAAUUUGUGAUGGCUUCUAAAAGCACAUGGCUGGUACAGAGCAAUUUUUACACCAGAGCCGUCGUCUCCGUCGACUUCGCCGCAAGACAAUCUGCCAUCGCCUCCGCCGACUUUGACGUAAGAUCAUCAGCCGUCGCCUGGACGUACUUUGGCGCAGGAACCUGAAGGAAAGCGGCAACAAAAGCAAGAUCCAAAGGCGCAGUCGUGCAAGGUCGAACCAUCCAUAAAGAUCCUCUUCCUGCAGCUAUGAAAACUGUGGCAAGACCUUUGUUAAUGUGGCUGCCUUGAGGAAGCAUGCUCAUGUACAUGGCGAGAGAGGCAAUAUGUUUUUUCAGGAGCCUGGCUAUUUGAAGGUACCUCUAGCAAAUAUUCAUACCUCACACCUUUACCAAUGCAUACACUAACCGGUGGUGAACUUUCGUGUUUAUUAGCAUUGACAAACUUUUCAGUAAUUUCAUGGUUUAUUUUGACGGACCUUUCUCUAUUGUUCAUAGUUGAUAUUGAUAUAUCCAUCCAUCCAAUCCACGAUGAGUGUUAAUUGAUUAAUCCUGCACAACCAAUAAUUCAGUUAAUUUAAUCCUACUAGAUAUAUACUCCAUCCAAUUCACUGUGAGAAUUUUAAGAACCCAUAGGCAUCAAAGUCUUGGUCUUUUUUCCUGUCCAUGUGUAGGCACAAACAGUGCUCCAGCUCGGUCGGAUUAGAUAUAAGUUUGGUCUCUGCCCGAGCUCCAAUUGCUGCUUGGAUUUCCUUUUUUUUCCUCUCAUGCAACCGCAGAUACCAUCUGACGCCUUUUCUUUUCGUGAUUGAAUAGUGCUAAUAGAUUUCAUCAUAUGACUAUUGUUUUUCGGUUAGGGGCCUGUUAUAUUUUUUUCAGCUUGACGAUGCCGUGGUCGCCCCACCGAUCAAAUCCCCGCACACACGCAACAACUCAACUCUACGGUUUGUACACCACCACCGCUUGAGCAGCCUGGCGAACGAUUUAGGUUGGUUCUCUUGCUUUUUACCAUGGUAACUUUGUAAACAUCAGAAGGCCUAAAUUUGGCAGCACACUCACUCGCUCAACAAUGAGCACUGGAGUCUAAAGCUUUGCUAUUGGCUGAAGAACAUCAAGGUCUUCAUUACAUGAUUAUUAGUUUCUUAAAUAUUUGUAUAACAUCAGAGUACUUUUUAGUUACAGAUUUGGCAAUACCCAGGACAUUAUUCUCCAGUCCAACUAUUGGCUUUCAAGGUGGCAGUGUGAGACAUUGUCGCUAUCACAGGAUCAUGUGGCAACGUAUUUGGUUUUUUGUUGAAAUAUGAUGGAGAUGGCUCUUUUGUAGUUAGAUGUGACUGCCACUCUCAUACCAAAUACUUUGAUGAUGAUACCUACUGGCGGGGAGGGGGGGGGGGGGGGGGGGGGUUUGAAAAUGCAGUUGUUGCAAACAUGAGUGAAGAUGACUGUACGUGGCAUAUGUAUGAUAUAGUCAAAGAAAGUGAUUGGCAUGGCAAGUUUACGUGAGAAACAGUUAAAGAAAUUGCAUGGAAGAUGUUUCAAGAGUAAAGUAAAUGUGUGAGAGAAGAUUGAUGAGCACCAAUAUUAUAUAGUGUAUCAUACUUUUAUAUAUUUGGCAUAAAGAAAAUACUUUGUUCC